ensembl:lncRNA
CUGAAGCGCCCGCAGGUGCCUGUGUCUGUGUAUCCCAACAAUAAACCAAAUCCUCUUGCUCAUUGCAUCCUGUGGUGUCUCGGUCUGGUCUUUGGAGUUAGAGGGUCUCCAUCCCGAGGGAAAGUUCUCCCUGAGAGCUUUUCAUUUGGUGCGUUGGCCGGGAAAGGAGAUCCUCCACCCAGGGACCACCGACCACCCACUGGGAGGUAAGCUGGCCGGCGUCUGUCUGUCUGUCUGAUUUUGUCUCGUUCUGUCUUAUUCUGUCUGUUCUGUGAGCGCUCAGCCAGGUUCUGUGAGCGCUCAGCCAGGUCUGUUCUGUGAGCGCUCAGCCAGGUCUGUUCUGUGAGCGCUCAGCCAGGUUGUUUGGAAUUUGGGCGGGACGAAGAAGGAGCUGACGAGCUCGGACUUCUCGCCCCGCAGCCCUGGAAGACGUUCCAAGGGUGUUGGGGCCCGACUUUUCGAGGCCCAAUCUGGGAGAGGAGAAAGAUCCGGACUAACGGCACCUCUGUCUGUAUUUUUGGCUUUCAGAGGGCCCCGGACCUUUGCCACCUCCAUCUGACUUUUUGCUUUCAGUUUGGUACCAAAGCCGUGCAGCACGCCUGUCUGUUGUUUGUUUGACUGUUGGUGUUGUUUGUUUUCUCUGUGUUCUAAUCUUCCUUAGAACUAACAUGAGACAGUCCCUAACAAUGCCCCUAAGUCUCACUCUUGAUCAUUGGGAAGACGUCCACGACCGGGCACACAACCAGUCCGUCGAGGUUAAAAAAAAAAAGGAAAAUGACAGACUCUCUACACAUCCGAGUGGCCCACUUUCGGAGCGGGAUGGCCAGUGAAUGGCACAUUUAAUAAGAUCAUUAUUUUACAGGUUAAAGAUCGGGUCGUCCACGGACAUCCUGACCAGGUUUCUUAUAUUAUCACUUGAGAGAGUCUCGCCUUAAACCCCCCCCCCCGGGCGGAACCCUUCGUGGACCCGAAUUGGCCUCCCCUCAACCCCCAGCCUGUCCCUUCGGCCCCGCCCGGUCCGCCGGCCACGUCUUCCUCUCUCUACCUUUGUGAAAUCAGAGCCUUCUAAGAAACCUGUCCUCCCGGCAGACCCAAACUCCCCUCUCAUAGA